AAAUUUGUUCACACUCGGGACUUAACUUAAAAUAAUAUUUUUUUUUUUUUAAUAAUAAAUAAUAAUUAAAAUAGCAAUGAAAGGAAAGGUACAUACUUGAAGAAAUGGAAAUAGAAAGAACAUGGUUUCCCCCCCAUACUUAAACUAAACAUUGUCCCCAAUGUUUUAAGGAAAUGAAAUACAAUAUGGAAAGGAAAAAGAAACUACAACUAAGGUUGUCUUCCGCCUCUGGUUCUUGGACCUGGUGAUCUCUGACGUAAGUCUAAGUUGUCGAACCUGCUGAACAACUCAGUAAACCGCUG
rnacentral:lncRNA from 1 species